AUUGGUACUAAGUGGUUGCAUAGCUGUGACUAGGGCUAUGACUAAAUCAAAUGCCAGCUUAUUACAAGACAUAAGGAAUCCAUUAAAGUGGCUCAAGCAUGAAUUUCACAUAGAAUUGUGGCUCUGCAGAUGGUGAAGAAUCCUAAGAAUGCAUCAGCAGGUAGCUAUAGCACAGAUGAGAGAAUGGGAGUGGACAGUCUAUGAACAGGAGCAAGAUUGAAGAGUCGCUAACUGCAGCAUUGAUAGGACAUGAGGAAGGCCAUAGGUUUUAAAUCAGAAGAUAACAGGCGAAAGCUAAUGACACUAGAAGUGAGAUUAACUGAGAUUAAUUUCUCCAACUUCCGUUUUGAGCAGAAUUAGAAUGCCUGAAGAAAUAGUAAAGAUGAAAAAAAGUGAAGUUGAGAUACGUUACUGGCAAGGACUGAUGGCUUAAGAAGAGAUGUCACUGAUUCUCACAAGCAAACAAAGGACAAAUGCUGACAGCUACCUUCACUUCAAUUGUUAACAAGCAAUUUCCAUCAGCUUUAGUGUGAAAUGGAUCAGCCAAUAUGAAUGCAUAUUGUGAAUGACUCACCCUGUAUCAACUGUCUAUACAUGAGUAAAGCCACAUGUCCCCACACUGCUGAUAGUCUUUAUUAUGGGCUUUCUUUAAGACUCUUGCCAUCGGUUGCUGUUUUUCCACCAAAUCUGAAAGAUCCUUAGAAUGAGUCACAGAAGCAACUGCCCGGGCUUCACCGACUGCAAUCCAUUGGAUGCAGGCAGUUAACUGACAUCGGAGAAAGGGCCAAGAGAACCGGGUUUACUUAUCAUGGACACGAAAAGAUGGAUGGCAACUGUGCAGAAGAUAAAGCCAGGCUUUUCUCAGAGGUGCACUAAGAGAGAAUGACGCAACAGAUGCAACUGGAAAUUCUGCUGGAAAUACCUGGAUUAGCACUGGAAAAUGUUGUCUGUAGAACCUCCAGUGUAGGGGAUUUUCAAAACUCAGCUGAACAAGGUUGUGAACAACCUGAUCUACAGUUGGAGUUCAUCCUGCUUUGAGCAGGAGGUUGGACUUGGUCUUGGUGGCUUUCAGAGGUCCCAGAGGGAUAUUUAUAAAUAAACAGCAGCAGAAUGACUAACAGAUUAGAAAGAAGAGCUUUUGUUACAGACAACAUCGCUGCAAAUAAUAUUAACUUCACACACUAAUAUAGUGCAAGUUACUUUAAACAAGUAUGACACUGUCAGACAUACAGGCCCAUUAAAACAUUGGAACUCUUGCUAGUACAUUUGCUAAUAAUCUUGUACACUGGACUUAUUUCAACUCAUUAGAAGCUUUAUAAGCUCAUUUUUAUAAUAUUUAUAACUAUACUUCAUGGAAAAAAAAAUGGACUACACUUCUGGAAGAAAAAGAUAAUCUGAGAAUUAAUUAAAAAAUAAAUCUUUUUAACUAUUAAAAAAAAAAAAAAGAAGUUUAACAAAAGCUAAAGAAUGUCUUAAAGAUAGACCUUGAUCAAUCCUUCACUUCAGCUGUGUUAGGUCUCUUGACAAUAAUUUGCUUUAGUUCUGAUGAGAGGUCCAUCUAAAAGUGUGUGGGCAAGCUGAGUAGUUUAGAGACACUUCAGAUAUGUUCAGAAAUGUUCAUAACCAAAGCACAGGCUUUCAGGAUACUGUUCUGCCCUGGUAUCUCUGUUUAUUCAUUACAAGUGUGAGUAUGUUACCAAUGAAAUAUAACUAGUUCUGUGCAACACCUUAAACCACUUUUUUCAUCUUUGCUCAAAUUGUGUCCUCCUGAAAUUUUGAUACAGCGACUUUCUUCUCAUGUGGUAAAAGUUGUAUCAUAUAAUAUUAUCAAUUACAUUCCCAAAUUGUAACAAAAUGAAUUCUGGAUGUAUUACACAUCCAAUAAAAAG
ensembl:lncRNA